ACCUUUUUUUCUUUUUAGGAGUUGUUUUGACGGUUUCGGGAGAUGAUGGAGACAAAAAAUAAUGAUCAUUUUGUGUUUUUACGUAUCCUAAAAAAAAAUAUAUAUUUAAAAAACAUUAAAAAUGAACUCUAAUAAUAAAAAUUACCAGCUAUCCUCAAAAUGUAAACCACAAAUAAGGUAAUUUGAAGCCAAAUGGGGCGAGUUUUUUUAUUAGUAGUAAUGCUGUAUCUAUAAUUUAAAUUACAUGAUUUACCAUUUA